rnacentral:tRNA from 1 species
AUUUACAUAUCUUAUAUAGAGUAUUAUAUUGAAGCUAUAAUUGAGAUCUUGUCUGUAAAUA